UCGAGGAUCUUUCGCAAUGGGCGAAAGCCUGACGGAGCGACGCCGUGUGAGUGAUGAAGGCCUUCGGGUUGUAAAGCUCUUUCGCACGGGAACAAGAGAAAGUGGUGAACAACCAUGUGAUUUGAGGGUACCGUGUAAAGAAGCACCGGCUAACUCCGUGCCAGCAGCUGCGGUAAUACGGAGGGUGCAAGCAUUAAUCGGAAUUAUUGGGCGUAAAGGGCGCGUAGGCGGAUUGAUAAGUCAGAUGUGAAAUUCCGGGGCUCAACUUCGGAGCUGCAUUUGAGACUGUUGAUCUAGAGGGUAGGCGGAGAAAAUGGAAUUCCACAAGUAGCGGUGAAAUGCGUAGAUAUGUGGAAGAACACCGGUGGCGAAGGCGGUUUUCUAGCUUAUUCCUGACGCUGAGGCGCGAAAGCAAGGGGAUCAAACAGGAUUAGAUACCCGCGUAGUCC
rnacentral:rRNA from 1 species